rnacentral:rRNA from 1 species
GACGAACGCUGGCGGCACGCCUAACACAUGCAAGUCGAGCGGAGAUUGAGAGCUUGCUCUCAUGAUCAGUGGCGGACGGGUGAGUAACACGUGAGCAACCUGCCUUUCAGAGGGGGACAACAGUUGGAAACGACUGCUAAUACCGCAUAACAUCGUUGAAUGGCAUCGUUUGACGAUCAAAGGAGCAAUCCGCUGAAAGAUGGGCUCGCGUCUGAUUAGAUAGUUGGUGAGGUAACGGCCCACCAAGUCGACGAUCAGUAGCCGGACUGAGAGGUUGAUCGGCCACAUUGGGACUGAGACACGGCCCAGACUCCUACGGGAGGCAGCAGUGGGGGAUAUUGGACAAUGGGGGAAACCCUGAUCCAGCGAUGCCGCGUGAGGGAAGAAGGUUUUCGGAUUGUAAACCUCUGUGGACAGCGACGAUAAUGACGGUAGCUGUUUAGAAAGCCACGGCUAACUACGUGCCAGCAGCCGC